rnacentral:rRNA from 1 species
UACAGAGGGGGCAAGCGUUGUUCGGAAUUACUGGGCGUAAAGGGCGCGUAGGCGGCCUGUUAAGUCGAACGUGAAAUCCCUGGGCUCAACCCAGGAACUGCGUCCGAUACUGGUUGGCUUGAAUCCGGGAGAGGGAUGUGGAAUUCCAGGUGUAGCGGUGAAAUGCGUAGAUAUCUGGAGGAACACCGGUGGCGAAGGCGACAUCCUGGACCGGUAUUGACGCUGAGGCGCGAAAGCCAGGGGAGCAAACGAC